AGUAGGGAAUCUUGCGCAAUGGGCGAAAGCCUGACGCAGCCAUGCCGCGUGAAUGAUGAUGGUCUUAGGAUUGUAAAAUUCUUUCACCGGGGAAGAUAAUGACGGUACCCGGAGAAGAAGCCCCGGCUAACUUCGUGCCAGCAGCCGCGGUAAUACGAAGGGGGCUAGCGUUGCUCGGAAUUACUGGGCGUAAAGGGCGCGUAGGCGGACAUUUAAGUCAGAGGUGAAAGCCCAGGGCUCAACCUUGGAAUUGCCUUUGAUACUGGAUGUCUUGAGUUCGGGAGAGGUGAGUGGAAUGCCGAGUGUAGAGGUGAAAUUCGUAAAUAUUCGCAAGAACACCAGUGGCGAAGGCGGCUCACUGGCCCGGUACUGACGCUGAGGUGCGAAAGCGUGGGGAGCAAA
rnacentral:rRNA from 1 species